ACGAACGCUGGCGGCGCGCUUAACACAUGCCAGUCGAACGGAAAGGCCUGCUUUCCCUUGUGGAUUGCGGGUACUCGAGUGGCGAACGGGUGAGUAACACGUGAGUGAUCUGCCCCCAACUUGGGUAUAAGCCUGGGAAACUGGGUCUAAUUCCCGAUAGGACUGCAGGGUGGUGCCUGUGGUGGAAAACGAUUUUCUAGUGGUUGGGGAUGAGCUCGCGGCCUAUCAGCUUGUUGGUGGGGUAAUGGCCUACCAAGGCGGCGACGGGUAGCCGGCCUGAGAGGGUGGACGGCCACAUUGGGACUGGGAUACGGCCCAGACUCCUACGGGAGGCAGCAGUGGGGAAUAUUGCACAAUGGGCGGAAGCCUGAUGCAGCGACGCCGCGUGGGGGAUGACGGCCUUCGGGUUGUAAACUCCUUUCGACCGCGAGGAAGCCACCUGGUUGGAAGGGUGGUGACGGUAGUGGUAGAAGAAGCACCGGCUAACUACGUG
rnacentral:rRNA from 1 species